CUAUUUCAAAAAGAUAUGUUGUAAGAUUUAUUGCCUCUAUUCCCUCUUACAUCAGUUUCAGCAUCCACCCGAUACAUUCCAAUUUCACUGUCCUUCUAUGAGGAUGCCUCUGAAAUUUGCUUCAUCUAAUCUGACUCGGAAGUUGGGUUUACAGAUUAUAUUUCCUUCCAAAUACCCGACGAGUCUUUUUCAGAUUUUACAAACUGUAUAGCUGUAGUGAGGGGAUUUAUGAAUGAUUCAAGCAAUGUGAAGCGGGGAAGACCUUUGGAAGCUAUCUUGUUGUGCAUCCCUUCUGGUUACCAUUGUGUUGAUUUGGCUCUAUAUAAGGAACUUCAAAUCGUUAUGUUGCUAAAUAAGAUAAAUGAUC